UACGAAGGGGGCUAGCGUUGCUCGGAAUCACUGGGCGUAAAGGGUGCGUAGGCGGGUCUUUAAGUCAGGGGUGAAAUCCUGGAGCUCAACUCCAGAACUGCCUUUGAUACUGAGGAUCUUGAGUUCGGGAGAGGUGAGUGGAACUGCGAGUGUAGAGGUGAAAUUCGUAGAUAUUCGCAAGAACACCAGUGGCGAAGGCGGCUCACUGGCCCGAUACUGACGUUGAGGGACGAAGGCCUGGGGAGCAAACAGG
rnacentral:rRNA from 1 species